UACGAAGGGGGCUAGCGUUGUUCGGAUUCAUUGGGCGUAAAGGGUGCGUAGGUGGCGCCGUAAGUCGGGUGUGAAAUUUCGGAGCUUAACUCCGAAACUGCAUUCGAUACUGCGGUGCUUGAGGACUGGAGAGGAGACUGGAAUUUAUGGUGUAGCAGUGAAAUGCGUAGAGAUCAUAAGGAAGACCAGUGGCGAAGGCGGGUCUCUGGACAGUUCCUGACACUGAGGCACGAAGGCCAGGGGAGCAAACGGG
rnacentral:rRNA from 1 species